rnacentral:rRNA from 1 species
CAGGGGGAUCAGAUACCGCCCUAGUUCGUCGCCCGUAGAUGCUACGAUCCCGACAUUGACACCUGGCCGCCUCCUGCCACAUUUCCGGUGGUAUGCUUGAAAGCUGAAAUUAAAGGAAUUGACGGAAGGGACCCGGAGUCGCUGGGCUUAUUGCAACACGGGAUACGCGACGGACCGUGGGAUUGAGAUUGAUAGCUUUUUCAUGUUGGGGGGGUGCUGGGUUUUGUUCACGGUGGCGUCGAUUUGUCGGUUUAUUCCGAUACGGGAGACUCAGCACUAAAUAGUGCGGCAUUCUUCCCUGCACUUCUUAGAGGAUUGCUGCGUCUAGAGGCACGAAAACGGAGAAUAACAGGUCUGUGAUGGCCUAGAGGCAGGGCUACCGCGCACACUGGAAACUGAGUGCUUGUCCAUCUCGAAAGGAGGAAACCCAAUGGCCGUGAUUGGACCAUCCCAGGAUUCCUAG